CCAAGGAGUCUAACAUGUGCGCGAGUCAUUGGGCUCUGCGAAACCUAAAGGCGUAAUGAAAGUGAAGGCAGUCUCGGGCUUGCCUAGGUAGGAUCCUUCCCGUCAGGGGAGGCGCACUACCGGCCCGUCUCGUCCGCGUUGCGGUGAGGCGGAGCGAGAGCGUACACGUUGGGACCCGAAAGAUGGUGAACUAUGCCUGAGUAGGACGAAGCCAGAGGAAACUCUGGUGGAAGUCCGUAGCGAUUCUGACGUGCAAAUCGAUCGUCGAACUUGGGUAUAGGGGCGAAAGACUAAUCGAACCGUCUA
rnacentral:rRNA from 1 species